rnacentral:rRNA from 1 species
CAGUCGCCGCGGGAAUACAGAGGGUGCGAGCGUUAAUCGGAUUUACUGGGCGUAAAGCGUGCGUAGGCGGCUAAUUGAGUCGGAUGUGAAAUCCCCGAGCUUAACUUGGGAAUUGCAUUCGAUACUGGUUAGCUAGAGUGUGGGAGAGGAUGGUAGAAUUCCAGGUGUAGCGGUGAAAUGCGUAGAGAUCUGGAGGAAUACCGAUGGCGAAGGCAGCCAUCUGGCCUAACACUGACGCUGAGGUACGAAAUCAUGGGGAGCAAACAGGAUUAGAUACCCCUGUAGUCCCUGUCUCUUAUAC